rnacentral:rRNA from 1 species
UACGUAUGGUGCAAGCGUUAUCCGGAUUUACUGGGUGUAAAGGGAGCGUAGACGGAUAGGCAAGUCUGGAGUGAAAGCCCGGGGCUCAACCCCGGGACUGCUUUGGAAACUGUUUAUCUGGAGUGCUGGAGAGGUAAGUGGAAUUCCUAGUGUAGCGGUGAAAUGCGUAGAUAUUAGGAGGAACACCAGUGGCGAAGGCGGCUUACUGGACAGUAACUGACGUUGAGGCUCGAAAGCGUGGGGAGCAAACAGG